rnacentral:snoRNA from 1 species
UCUGACGGUUGGACGUCCAUGUCCUUCGGCUUAAUUGUGGAGCAAACAAAAAAUGUUUGUAUAUUCCCAAGCAAACGUCAAAUAUUAAGCCUCUGGGUGUUGAGAGGAUCCAAUUGAAUUUUCUCCAUCUGAAGGCGGCCUCAUAUUCCAUUGCCCUUGAUAGCGGCGUUGCUGCAUUGAAACUUUGGGACUGGCCAUGAGGCAGACAGUU